rnacentral:lncRNA from 1 species
CAUAUUGUAUCACUUUGCGCCUCUGCUUGUCUUUACAUGUGAAAGCAACAUCAGUGCAGCUCUACACCAUGAGUUAAGACUGGUGAAGUGAAGGGAAAUCCUAGAGUCUUCACAUAAAAAGUCCAAGUGAAACCUGGAUUGUCAUUUUUUAAUAGAAAAUCCGCAAUUAUUUUAAACGUAGGAAACGAGGAUCGACCAACUCAGGCUAAGAAUACAAGAUUGUAUCAACACCAAUGCCUUCUCAGGUGGUGAUCCAUGAGCACCAUCAAAACUCCUACACAAAUAAGUGUGAUCCAUGGGCGAUGGAGGCUACGAGAUUUGGCCGCGCUGUGGGAGGUGGAUGGGGCUUCUCCUCUACAAAAUUCGGUAUUGUCUCCGAUAAUAUCCUUGGAGCACUAGCAAUUGCCAAUGGCACGCUGGUCACUGCAACCGCCAACCAAAAUAGCAACUUGUUCUUUGCUCUGUGCGGCGCCAGUGCAAAUUCCUUCGACAUUGUCACGCAAUUCACGUUCCGAGUGCACGACGUAUCUUUCCCUGUCACACAUUUCAAAUACACUUGGAUCAUGAAAAACCAACAGUUCCAGAGUUUUAAGGCAUUUCAGACAUGGGGAGUUGAGAUCUCCGACUACAUCUUGGCAUCCUUGUACAUGGAUCCCUAGGGCGACAUCAACAUCAAAGGAACUUACCUACGACCGAAGAACUCCCUUUCUCAGUUGCUGAAACCUUUUCUCUCAACUGUUACCACUCUCGCAUUCCCUGAU